UCCAGUAGGAAAUGAAAUGAUGACUCAUCUACAACAUAUUGUGCACACUUACUUUUCAGUACAUCAGUCUAUUAUAUACGAUAAUAAUUGUAUGUAUGAAUCCUUACACCCUUGCACCUAAUAUACUGUAAGUAUAAUCUUUGUAAUUUUAUAUGCAGAGUUCACAAACGUCUUUGUAAGUUCAGAAGACGACAGUCAACCUAAAGGCAGGAAGAUGGGACAAUCGCACCCAAGACGAUGCAAUGUAGCUGUCAUUGGUUACUAUGGGUCCGGAAAAAGUUCAUUCAUCAAUUCUAUGAAAGAAUUGCGAUCUGAUGUCGAUAUAAAACGAAUUGAAGUGGAUGAUGAUGAAGCGGAAGUCGUUGAUGAAAGGGGGGUGGAUGAUAACCUUGGACACAGAAAACAAAUCAUUUUUUGGGAAUUCCCUGCUGCAAAGAUAUAUCAGUCAGAUGGUAUAUAUGCGCUUGAAAAAACGAUAUUUAGAACUGAUCCAGUAUGUUUUUUGUACAAAGGCAGACUUUCUGAAAGUGACAUGCAGCUCUUGACGUAUUUGCAUGAACUAUGUCUAAACUUGAUAAUUGUUCGAACAGGCGUCGAUGAAGAUGUGUGUAAUUAUGAACGUAGUCAUCCGCAAAGUUACAAACAGAAAGACCUUCUUGCUAUGCUACAAUCAUAUAUGUAUUGGCAUCAAUGUAAUACUUGAACGAAACAGUACGAUCAAGAAAAUGAAAUCGAUAUGUUUUCUGGUUUCAAAUUACGAAAGAGGACUGUACGACCAAAUCAAGUUGCAUGACAAACUAGUAAGCUGUUGUACAAGUUCUCUAACUAAAAGUUUACAAUUUCUCCGACAUGAGAUCCGUCAAGCUUUAUGGUAUACUUAUUUAAAUACAAGAAGAAGUAAAUCCUGGAAAUGCAACGGACCUGCUGCCACAUGUAGAGAAGAAUUGAUAGAGGCGGCGAAAAAAGGCUAAAAACUUUUAUAGUAGCAAAGGAAUUGUAGGUUUGCAUGAGUACUUUAAAGAAGAACUAGAAACCUUGAAAAGCGUCGGUAUUAACUUUGCUGUAACUGGGUCGUCAGGUACUGGCAAAUCGUCUUUCAUAAAUGCUGUUCGCGAUUUGACUGCGGAUGACAAAGGUGCGGCAGAGGUAGGUGUAGUUGAAACUACAAUGGAGCCAAACAGUUUUAUCCAUCCUGUCAGAAAAGAUUUAAACCUAUGGGACCUUCCUGGAAUAGGCACAAUGAAAGUUCCAAAGGACAGUUACCUCAGGAAUAUCAAGUUUGAAAAGUACGAUUUUGUUAUCAUUAUCAGCAAAUGCAGAAUCACCGAAAACGAAGUAUGACUUGCACAGGAAUUGAAUUCAAUGAAAAUGAGAUUGGCCUUUGUUCGUACGCAUAUUGAAAAUGAUGUUAAAAAUGGAAGAAUGCAAAAUCAAAAGAGGAACGAUGUGAUAACACGCAUCAGAUCAAACUGUGAAGAGGAGCUACGAAAAGCCGAUUUGCCAUUUAUACCUGUUUUCUGAUUAGAUAACUUUGAGAAGAAUGCUUAUCCUGAUUUCGCAAGACUGGAACAGUAUAUGUUGAACGAGUGCAGUCUUCAUAGAAAAGAAAUGCUAAUUUCUUGUAUUUCAGACUUGACACAAGGUGUUAUAGGAUCCAAGGCAAAACACUUGACAACUAGAAUUCCUUCCAUAUGUGAUAAAAUAGCUAAUAUUGAUUCCUAUACAAAUCAAAACAGCUAUCUUAGACAUGAACUGGAUGAAUUCAAGAUCCACUUUUACCUCGAUUUUAAUUCUCUGAAAAUCGACGCGAUGUAUACGGACUUUUCAGACGAGGACAAGCAAGAUGUCUUAAAAAUUCUUGAUCAAGACCCACCUGAAAUUAUUCAGUUAGUUGAUGCUUUGACAUCAAGCACAAGAGGGAUACCGACUUAUGGAAAAUAUAAGAUAAGACAAGCGUGUAAUAUUUUCUUAACUAGUGCCUUGAAAAAGUUUGCAAAAACUUCCGUUAAAACCACUAAUACUAUGGUUAGAGGAAUGAAAAUACUACAAGACUAAUUUUUCGCUGCGGGAAAAAGUCAAAUCACUCAUCGUCACAUUUUCAUUACUCGUCUUAAUAAAAAGACUUUGUUGUUUUAUAACUGUAAAUGGUCUUAUUGUAGAGUUAGGUGGUUGAAAUAAUAAAUAUACAUGAUUUUGAGAUAAAAACUAAAAUUCGGGGUAACAGUAAAAAUAUAAAUGCUAUGCUGCUUAAGUAAAUGAGCUGUACGCCACAAUGUAGAAGAAUCAUUUCAAAACAAGAAAAUGGGGAUGAAAAUAACAUCAAACUUUCAGUAAAUCAUUCCACGCCUCUAUAGGUUUACGUGACAGACUGGUUAUUAUAUAAGGUGACCGUCACUGAUUUCGAAAUAUUUGCCAAUAAUAUAUGAUUUUGUUUAAAACGUCCCUUCCUUAUGUCUUAAGUGAAGCCUUCCAGCUUUCCAGUUAGCUUACGAAAGAUAUGUGGUUCUACCCAGGGGCCUGCCCAUGCCUGAAGAAAUGGACCUCUGGGGUAAUCUGUGGUGAUCCUCCAGCAACAAAAGCUAGAAAAGUUAUCACAUGGCUUAUAUAGUGUCGGUAUGACUAUAAACACAACACAGGCAAAUAAAUCUGCCUCAAAUGAAGUGCAGGAAUCCAAAUUCGCAUUAAUCAAAUACUAUUUAUGCCUCAAAACUGAAAAUUAUGAUACUCUGAUACUCAUACAUGAUAGUACUUGUUUCAAGAUAUCAAAUUACUUCCAAAUAAAAUGAAGACAUUUUCUCAGCUUUGAUCAUAUCAACCAAAUCUAAUAAUUUGAUAUAUAGUCUUUCGUCCUUUUUUUGGUUGACUGGAAGUUUAUUUUUUGUUUGUUCCAGAUAUUUAUUUUUUUCCUAAAAUAUACAUCAUAAUCUAAAA
rnacentral:lncRNA from 1 species